rnacentral:rRNA from 1 species
CCUACGGGGCGCAGCAGUGGGGAAUAUUGGGCAAUGGGCGCAAGCCUGACCCAGCAACGCCGCGUGAAGGAAGAAGGCUUUCGGGUUGUAAACUUCUUUUCUCAGGGACGAAGCAGGUGACGGUACCUGAGGAAUAAGCCACGGCUAACUACGUGCCAGCAGCCGCGGAAAUACGUAGGUGGCAAGCGUUAUCCGGAUUUACUGGGUGUAAAGGGCGUGUAGGCGGGAAAGCAAGUCAGAUGUGAAAACCACGGGCUCAACAUGGGGCAUGCACUUGAAAAUGUUUUUCUUGAGUACUGGAGCGG